GAGGUGGUGGUGGUGGGGAGUGAGAGAGUGGAAAAUUCAAAACGCAGCUCUCUCUCUCUCUCUCCUGACUCUUCUUCACCUCUCUCGUCACAUCAAUCCACACUGUAUAGUAGUAUCUGUUUUCUUCUUCUUCCUCAAGUUCUCUGCUCUGCUUCUUCACUUUUCCAUUGGUCCCAAAUCCCAAAUCAUUAAAACUUACUUCCUCUUCUCUCAUUUUUAACCUUUAACUUAUCUGACCCCAUCUCUCAAAAAAAAAUCUCUCCUUUCUCUUUCUUCUGACUCAUCCUCUUUGGUCUCUUAAAACUUUCCUCGAUUUCAAUUCUCAAUUGCUUUGGUUCAAGUGAAUGAAAUUGCCGGUACCUCCCCCCCUGUUAAUGUGUCCAUAACCUCGAAUUCGAUUGAUUCCCUUCAUCAAGAUCCCAAUUUUGGAAUGAGCCCGUGAGUGAAAGUUGAGGUCUUUGGCAUCUCAAGUUAACCCAUUAGGGAAAAUAUAAUUCAGUAGAUGGAAGAAUAAUAAUUAAACAAAAAAAAAAAUGGAAGUUGUUGAGAGGAAACGAUCUAGAGGAGGGUUCUUGAAUCUAUUUGAUUGGCCUGGAAAGUCCCGCAAGAAGCUCUUCUCUUCUGCCAGCUCACAACUCUCAGGUUUGUCUUACAUUAUAGUAUGGUCACAACUAGUUAGUUCUUGUGAUACUCUCAUAUGUAGAUGUCUUAGCUGUAAGAGAAAUGUACUUCUCUUUAGAAGGAUUAUGGUUUAAGACAUUGUUUUUUUUGUAGCAGAAGAAUCAAAGCAGACAAAACAGAAUGCUCAAAACCUCUCCAGUCCUUCUCUCAAUGAGGUUGAUGAGGUUAGCAAGAACUUGAGAAGUGAGUCAAGCUGUUGUGGAUCUUCUGUUACUAGCGAUGAGGAAGGGACAGGAACGAGAGCCCCGAGCGUGGUUGCAAGGCUCAUGGGUCUAGAGUCUCUACCUGUACCAAACGUUCAGGAGCCUCGGUUUAACCCCGAUCUUGAUCCAUUCUUCCUCAGACCUUCACGCAACACAACAAGCAGCAAAUGGAAUGCUGCAUAUGAGAAUCUCCGUAGUGACUAUGACCGAGUAUCCUCGGAACAUUUGGAUUCAAGAACGAGUGAUGGCCGCAGCAACAGACCCAUUGAGAGGUUUCAGACUGAAACAUUCCCUCCCAGGUCGGCCAAACCGAUCUGCGUUACCAACAACAGGCUCUUGUCUCCCAUCAGGAGCCCUGGGUUCGUCCCAUCCAGGAACCCUGUUUAUGUAAUGGAAGCAGCUUCGAGAAUGAUUGAACCAAGUCCUCCUAGGAUGGUUGCUGCUAGAACGCGCUUUUCGCCGUCAUCCAACUCUCCUUCAUCGGUUCCUAUGAGGAUUCAAGAUUUAAGAGAGAAACUAGAAGCUGCACAGAAGGUUUCAAGCCGCCAAGUCAGUGGAAAGCACAACGAGAAAAGAGCAUCAGCAUCAGUCUCAACACCAUCAACUAGUAAUAGUAAGUUCACAGGGAAAAACAGUUCUUCUGAUGGUUUGAAGAGAAAAGCAAAGCCACCUUAUGUAUCUGCUCAAGCAAAGACCAGCACAACGCCCUUAAGCGGCGUCAGCAGAAGCCAAAAGGAGAAAGCAGAAGCUAAGAAUGGUCUCAGAGGAGGAGCUCACAUUAACACAGGAAAGAGUGUGCUUAAGCAGAACUACCAGAAACAGAACUGCAGAGACAAGACCUCUGCUUCAAACCAAAAAAGCAGCAAUGUAGUUAACAAAGCUGUGAGCAAGGUUCCGGUGUCAAAGCAGCAGGGUGAGGCAUUAGCGGGAAAGAACACUUAUUUAUCUUUGUCUCGCAAAAAGGCACUUCCCAGGAGCAAAAAGCCUCCAAACGGGAGGAUGCAAGGAACUGGAACCUCCGAUGACAAACGGAUCAAAAGGAAUGAAAACGUGAUAAAAUGUAACGUCACCAUUGAUAAUAACACAGGCAAAGAUGGUCGGAAAAAGGAAACGGAUGUGAUCUCAUUCACGUUCUCAUCCCCCAUCAAAGGCUUAUCAUCUGAUUCACUGUCUUCAACUCAAGGAAACACAGACCGAGACACAGACUCUGCAGUUAGUUUCGACAUGUUUGGUGGAGAUUCUUUGAAUGUCCUGUUAGAGAAAAAGCUCAGAGAGCUGACUUCUAAGCUUGAGUCUUCUAGCUGUAGCUUGACACAAGAAGAGUCUCCACGCUUCAGCGCUAAAGAUGAGGUGAACGGGAUGAAGUCGACCCAAGACGGUCUGGAUACUGUUUUAUCAGAGAGUGAAUCUGUUUCUGACUGCACUUCAGUCUAUGACAAACAAAAAUUUCAGAUGAUACAAGCAGAAGAGCAGGAAGUUAGCAGCAUUAGCACUGUGACAGAAGCUGAUGAUCUCAGAAGCUCUUGCAGCAAGGGCUUCUUAGAUUGCAGACAGACCACAGAACAUGAGAUUAAACAGUCCUCACCAGAUCAAGAAUUUACAUGGGUUUCAUCAUCAGCACAAGAAGAGUCUGAACUCUCAGAGUCUGUAAUAACACUGGCUUAUUCAGAAGACGAAGAAAGGCUAGACUGGGAGCUUGAGUACAUAUCUGAGAUCCUCGGUUCUGACCAACUGAUGGUGAAAGAGUUUGCUUUGGGGAUGGCUGCUGAUAUAUUACCUGCGAGCCUCUUUGAUGAAAUGGAAGGCCCUGGAGAAGCAACAGCAGCCAAGCUUAGAAGAAAAACUGUAUUUGAUUUUGUCAAUAACUCCUUAGCACUUAAAUGCGAGCAGAUGGUUAGGGGUACCUGCAGAGGGAUAUUGGGGAAAGAGGGGAUUCUGUUUGAACAUAGAGUUUGGUUAGCUGAAGAACUGAACAGAGAGGUUCAGGGGUUGAAGAAGAUGAGGGAGAUGAUGAUGGACGAGCUUGUUGACAAAGAGAUGAGCAGUUUGGAAGGGAAUUGGCUUGAUUUCGAGAGGGAGAGUUAUGAAGAAGGCAUUGACAUUGAGGGAGAGAUAGUCUCUACGUUGGUUGAUGAUUUAGUUAAUGAUCUUGUCUGUGUGUUCAAAGAACAACAAGGGCAUGGGUUAGUGUCUGCUUUUGUCAGAGUUUGAUCUUCUCUCAGCGUUGUAGAAGCUCCUGGUCAUAUCCUCUGAGCAUUCCUUAUAUAUUUUUCAACGGUUCUUUUGAUUUGUUAUGUAUUGUCUUACAUGGGUAAAUCCCUUUAAAGAUCGAAUGAAGUGCAAAUAAACUAUCAAAAUGAUUAAGAAAAAUGUUUAACAACUUUA